rnacentral:rRNA from 1 species
AAUGGGCGCAAGCCUGAUCCAGCAAUGCCGCGUGAGUGAAGAAGGCCUUCGGGUUGUAAAGCUCUUUCAGUCGAGAAGAAAAGGUUGUGACUAAUAAUCAUAACUCAUGACGGUAUCGACAGAAGAAGCACCGGCUAACUACGUGCCAGCAGCCGCGGUAAUACGUAGGGUGCGAGCGUUAAUCGGAAUUACUGGGCGUAAAGGGUGCGCAGGCGGUUCUGUAAGUCAGAUGUGAAAUCCCCGGGCUUAACCUGGGAACUGCGUUUGAAACUACAGGACUAGAGUGUGGCAGAGGGGGGUGGAAUUCCAUGUGUAGCAGUGAAAUGCGUAGAGAUAUGGAAGAACAUCGAUGGCGAAGGCAGCCCCCUGGGUUAACACUGACGCUCAUGCACGAAAGCGUGGGGAGCAAA